rnacentral:sRNA from 1 species
AAAAUUUGGUUAUUGUCCUAAAGAAAUAUCUUGUCUGAUUGAUUUUGUAGGGACUAAACAUACAAUAUCGAAAUUGAAAAAGGAUUUUUCGGCACAAAUCGUCCCCAAAAAAGUAUAUGCAGAUAA